UCAACUUGAGAGUUUGAUCCUGGCUCAGAACGAACGCUGGCGGCAGGCUUAACACAUGCAAGUCGAGCGCCCCGCAAGGGGAGCGGCAGACGGGUGAGUAACGCGUGGGAAUCUACCCUUUUCUACGGAAUAACGCAGGGAAACUUGUGCUAAUACCGUAUAAGCCCUUCGGGGGAAAGAUUUAUCGGGAAAGGAUGAGCCCGCGUUGGAUUAGCUAGUUGGUGGGGUAAAGGCCUACCAAGGCGACGAUCCAUAGCUGGUCUGAGAGGAUGAUCAGCCACAUUGGGACUGAGACACGGCCCAAACUCCUACGGGAGGCAGCAGUGGGGAAUAUU
rnacentral:rRNA from 1 species